rnacentral:tRNA from 1 species
GCAACGAUGGCCGAGUGGUUAAGGCGCUAGCCUGCUAAGUUAGUGGGAGAAUUCCUUCGCGAGUUCGAAUCUCGCUCGUUGCG